rnacentral:rRNA from 1 species
UACAGAGGAGGCAAGCGUUGUUCGGAAUCACUGGGCUUAAAGCGCGUGUAGGCGGCCCGUCAAGUACCUUGUGAAAUCCCUCGGCUCAACCGGGGAAUGGCUGGGUAUACUGACAGGCUUGAGGUUGGUAGGGGUGCCUGGAACUCUAGGUGGAGCGGUGAAAUGCGUAGAUAUCAAGAGGAACACCUGAGGUGAAGACGGGUUGCUGGGCUGACACUGACGCUGAGGCGCGAAAGCCAGGGGAGCAAACGGG